GAUGAACGCUGGCGGCGUGCCUAAUACAUGCAAGUCGAGCGAACAGACGAGGAGCUUGCUCCUCUGACGUUAGCGGCGGACGGGUGAGUAACACGUGGAUAACCUACCUAUAAGACUGGGAUAACUUCGGGAAACCGGAGCUAAUACCGGAUAAUAUAUUGAACCGCAUGGUUCAAUAGUGAAAGACGGUUUUGCUGUCACUUAUAGAUGGAUCCGCGCCGCAUUAGCUAGUUGGUAAGGUAACAGCUUACCAAGGCAACGAUGCGUAGCCGACCUGAGAGGGUGAUCGGCCACACUGGAACUGAGACACGGUCCAGACUCCUACGGGAGGCAGCAGUAGGGAAUCUUCCGCAAUGGGCGAAAGCCUGGCGGAGCAACGCCGCGUGAGUGAUGAAGGUCUUCGGAUCGUAAAACUCUGUUAUUAGGGAAGAACAAAUGUGUAAGUAACUAUGCACGUCUUGACGGUACCUAAUCAGAAAGCCACGGCUAACUACGUG
rnacentral:rRNA from 1 species